UGGGGAAUAUUGCACAAUGGAGGGAACUCUGAUGCAGCGACGCCGCGUGAACGAAGAAGGCUUUCGAGUCGUAAAGUUCUUUUAUAUGGGAAGAUAAUGACGGUACCAUAAGAAAAAGCCCCGGCUAACUACGUGCCAGCAGCCGCGGUAAUACGUAGGGGGCUAGCGUUGUCCGGAAUCACUGGGCGUAAAGGGUUCGCAGGCGGAAAUGCAAGUCAGGUGUAAAAGGCAGUAGCUUAACUACUGUAAGCAUUUGAAACUGCAUAUCUUGAGAAGAGUAGAGGUAAGUGGAAUUUUUAGUGUAGCGGUGAAAUGCGUAGAUAUUAAAAAGAAUACCGGUGGCGAAGGCGGCUACUGGGCUCAUUCUGACGCUGAGGAACGAAAGCGUGGGUAGCAAACAGG
rnacentral:rRNA from 1 species